rnacentral:rRNA from 1 species
UACGUAGGGCGCAAGCGUUGUCCGGAAUUAUUGGGCGUAAAGAGCUCGUAGGUGGCUUGUCACGUCGGGUGUGAAAGCUUGGGGCUUAACUCCAGGUCUGCAUUCGAUACGGGCUGGCUAGAGGUAGGUAGGGGAGAACGGAAUUCCUGGUGUAGCGGUGAAAUGCGCAGAUAUCAGGGGGAACACCAGUGGCGAAGGCGGUUCUCUGGGCCUUACCUGACGCUGAGGAGCGAAAGCGUGGGGAGCGAACAGG